CCUACGGGCGGCAGCAGUGAGGAAUAUUGGUCAAUGGCCGGAAGGCUGAACCAGCCAUGCCGCGUGAAGGUCAGUGCCCUAUGGGCGUUAAACUUCUUUUGUGCGGGAGCAAUAAUGGUCACGUGUGGCCAGACGAGAGUACCGUACGAAUAAGCAUCGGCUAACUCCGUGCCAGCAGCAGCGGUAAUACGGGGGAUGCAAGCGUUAUCCGGAUUAAUUGGGUUUAAGGGGUGCGUAGGCUGUGAGGUAAGGUAGAGGUGAAAUGCCCCCGCUCACCGGGGUGAAGUACCAUUGAUACUGCCUUGCUGGAAGGCGGAUGCCGUGAGAGGAAUGUGUGGUGUAGCGGUGAAAUGCAUAGAUAUCACACAGAACACCGAUUGCGAAGGCAUCUCACGAAUCCGCGAUUGACGCUGAUGCACGAAAGCGUGGGUAUCAAACAGGAUUAGAUACCCCUGUAGUC
rnacentral:rRNA from 1 species